AGCGUCGGGAUUUAAAACAUUAAGAACUACAAAUCCCAAACCCUUGUCCGGAAAUGAUGCGGCCUCGUCGACGUCCUUCGUGAACUGUUUGGUUAUUUAGUCUGGAUUCAAUGAAGAAAAAAAAAAAACAAUAAAAAAGAGAUUUUUUUUUUCUGCUUUGAACCUCUUCUCUUUAAUUUUCCAGACUACAGUAAAGGAAAGAAAGUAAGACCAUCACAGCGAAAGAUAGGUCUCAAAUAACAGAUUUCGAUUAUAUAAUAAAGAGCUUUUUAUCUAUUGUAUGAUUGCAGACCAAACUGACCAGUGAGGUCAUGUAAAUAUGAGUGAAGAUCAAAUUUGUCAGUGUCCUAAUGUUUUAUAUAACAAUGAUUAUUCUGCUGGAUCACAUUUUGUGAUGAGAUUAAAAUUCUAGUGAAUUUGUCCCAUUCAACAUACAGAAACACAAUCACAAAAUCAGAGGCUCUCACCUGAGAUGAGUGUUAAUACCGGGUGCAAACGGGGCCGAGGACAUUUGACACUUGAAUGGAUGUACUGUAUGAAAUGUGUCUAAAAUCCUUUUUUCUGUCUCAGGAUCAUCACCCAUCCUACACACCUGAGGUCUACGCUUCCUACACAAACAUCCCGCUGGGGGUAUUCUUCUCAGUAUGCAGAGAUCUGAGAGAGCUCAGGCACCUGAGAAGAUCACUUUAAACUAUCGGCAAUACUGUAAAGUUAUAAAAAGGGUAUCACCAAACACUAAAAGUACUUGAUUAUAAUAACUGUCAUGUUUUUCUAUAUUAAUAUAUUUUAGAUGUACUACAUUGCAAUUGCAUCAUUACAAAUUAGUAGUUACAGAUAUUUAAGUAAAUUACUUACAGGUUUUAAUAGAAAUUAUAUUAAAGUAUAUUAUAGUUUUGCAUAAAAGCUUGUCAGUUCUGCAGUACACGUACCCAGAUUUUGAGGACAGUAUAAUUAUGAAUUUUUAUAUAAAGAUGCAAGUCCUACUUCGGUGGCACUCUGAAGUUACAUUUGAAAUUAAUUUAAACCGUUAUGCAUUUUAAUUGAAUUUUAAGUGAUAAACGUCAUACCGAUGUAUAUCCAUAGUAUACCUAAAUUAUAUUAUUUACAUAAUAAGUAAACAUAAGUUGAUUGAUGGUCCAUAAUACUUAAAGCAUUGUCUUAAUACUUAAAGUUGCUGCUGUUGCUUAUUGUUCAUCACUCUUCUUCCUGCAGGUUUAUUAACGUCAUCCAUCUUUUUUUUCCCCCUUUGAUUUAGUCUUUUAGCUGCAGUCUAGUAACCAUCUGCAGGGACCGAAGCCUUUUCCUCUUGACGGACUGUUGGCUUUAGUCUACAGCAGUGAUCCUCAAAUCUGCAAAGUUUAGCUCUAACCCUAAUCAAACACGCAUGAGUUUGCUAAUCAGUGUCUUCAGGAUCAUUAAAAAAUCACAGGCAGGUGUGUUUAAUUGGAGUCGGAGCUAAACUCUGCAGGAAACUGGAUCUUGCGAGCCAGAUUUGAGGAUCACUUGUCUACAGUGUGGUUGAUGGCAGAGUUGCACCUACAGCCAGUAUCUUCUCACAGAACCGUAGGCUUGAUGCGGUGAAGUGUCUGGAGGACUUCCUGUGAUCCUCUAGCAGUGGACGUGAACCAGGCAUCUUAAGUGGACAAAAUCACAUUACAUCACUAGGAAUUAUGGACGUGAAUGGACUGUCUGAGAAAUUAUGUUACAGGAAAAUCCUGCAUUUAUUAGUCCAAUCAGAUGUCACCAUAGAAAAAUACUCCGUUUAUACAUGAGACUCUUUCCUCAGACAGAGAUUUGUUGGGUUUGGUGUGUUAACGUCUGACACAGCUUAAUACUAGUCUAAUAAAUACUGUAGUUUGUAAUAAUGGGUCCAAUUUAUUUUUCAUAAACUACCUGCCAAAUUUGGGGUUGGAAUGAUUUUAUUUUUAAUGUUUUUGUAUUUAUUGAUGAACAGAAUGUUAAAAAAAAAGACUUUAUUCAUGAAUUUGUAUAUUAUUAUUAUUAUUAUAUAAUUAUUUUAAUUAUUAUAUAUUUACUUUAUAUUAGCAUGGUUGAUCAAUUUAACACAUCCUUCCUCAAAGAAACUAUUAGUUAAUAAUAGUUAUGACACAAAGGUAGUUUGGUGCAUUAUAUGUGUGCUCUGGUCAAAGCUUUACCACUAAUUGACUGUAUUAAACAUUAAUUCAUUUAUGUGUUCUAGGUGUUAUUCCCAUGUUCAUGCAGUGUUCAUGGUAACAUCAUGGUUGCAAAUGUCCAUUCAACCACAUUUAAAUGAGUGAGAUAUUACAGAUAUGUUUUGUGUUAUUUGGCUCCUUUGUAGAAGAGUAGCUCCGCUCAGAGGACUGACCUCCUUAUCAUUUAGCAAAAAGAUGGCAGAGCUGGCAUGAAUACCAAUCACCCUCAGAUGAAGACGGACACAACCCAGAACAAGCACUACACGAGGAUCUGGGAGAGAGGAGCGGUCUGUGCGGUGAAGGGUGUUGAGGAUCACAAUCGGGAUGAUGAGGGUGCCCUCUUGAGGAUUACUGCCAAGGAUCCAAAUUCAAAGCUCUGCGUCUGAGACAGACACCAGCCACUUGUCGCAGACAUAAUCCUCAGGUCAACACACUUUCCUCCAAAUGUCACCUCUCUUUUGAGCCACAGGUUCUAGUUGUCUAGGGCAGUGUCAGGGAGAAGGCCAUGGGCAAUGCUGAGGUGCGUUAAUGUAGAGAUAUAUGGAUAGUCUGUAUUGCAUAGUUGCAUGGAUGAGUAAAUAAAACUAAUGGAAACUUAUUAAAACAAUCAUAAUGAAAAGAUUACACUUUGUGUAACAAUUUUUUAUACACAGUAUAGAUGUCAAUGUCACAAAACAACCACUGUUAUACAAUUUGCUGUAAUCAAAAUAUGAAUUACAUAUAAAAAUUGUGAAAACUGGCAUCAAAUAUAAUAGCAGUAGUAAAAUGUAUCAAAUGGCUUUAUGCAACAACAGCAUAAAGUACUAAUUGAUUAAAUGCUCUAAAAUAUAUUUAUGUGUAUACACACACACACACAUGUGAAAAAAAAUAAA